AUUGAACGCUGGCGGCAUGCCUUACACAUGCAAGUCGAACGGCAGCACGGGGCAACCUGGUGGCGAGUGGCGAACGGGUGAGUAAUGCAUCGGAACGUGCCAUUGAGUGGGGGAUAACGUAGCGAAAGUUGCGCUAAUACCGCAUAUUCUGUGAGCAGGAAAGCAGGGGGACCGCAAGGCCUUGCGCUCUUUGAGCGGCCGAUGUCAGAUUAGCUAGUUGGUGAGGUAACGGCUUACCAAGGCGACGAUCUGUAGCGGGUCUGAGAGGAUGAUCCGCCACACUGGAACUGAGACACGGUCCAGACUCCUACGGGAGGCAGCAGUGGGGAAUUUUGGACAAUGGGCGCAAGCCUGAUCCAGCCAUGCCGCGUGAGUGAAGAAGG
rnacentral:rRNA from 1 species